CAGGGAGAUCUAUGAGGGUUUUGUGAUGGGUUGAAUAGUGUCCUCCCAGGAGAUAUGUUGAAGCCCUAUUUUUGGUACCUGUGAAUAUGACUUCAUUUGGAAAUAGGAUCUUUGCAGAUGAAAUCUAGUUAAGAUGGGUUCAUUAAGGUGGCCCUAAUUCAAUAUGACUGUUUUCCUUAUAAAAAAAGGAAAAGACGGAGAAACAGGGAGAAGAAUGCCACAUAACAAUGAAGGUAGAGAAUGGGGUUACACAGCUACAGACCAGAGAACAUGAAGGACUGUCACCAACACCACUGCUAAGAGAAGGGCACAGAACAGAUUCUCCCGCAGAGCCUUUAGAGGAAGCAAGACCCUGUCAACAGCUUUUCUGAGUUCUAGCCUUCAGAACUGUGAGAGAAUAAAUUUCAGCUUAUGGUACUUUUUAUAUGACAGCCCAAGGAAACUAACACAAGUAUUGGUGGAACGCUUCUUCAACAAAUAGCACUUGAAUUAAGGCAGCGGCACUAAAAAUGGAGAGGAGGAGGUAUGUGGUAGACCAGGGAUAUAUUUGCUAAAGGACAAACGAGUAAUGAGACUUAGAAACAGAAUGAUGGAGCCACAAAGAAUGCCUGAAAUGGUAAUAGGAUACAUGCUUGAAUGUUGAUAGGCCCCAUUUCCACAAGCCUCCAAAUCUGCUUCUAGAUCCCAUUCGAGCAAGGGAGGAUUUGUUCAGAAGAAAGGCCUUUUGAGAGCACCAGUCCCUCCACCAGCCAGUCUAGUCCUAAGAGCUCUGAAGGCCAACCUUGGAAGUGGUUUAGGAGGGAAAAUGCAGGACCCAGGAUUUCAGUUGCCAAGCCGGAGAGCAGGGGACCCAGGAAAGAAUAUUGGCAUUCACUUGAUUUUUCCAUCUUCUGAUAUAACCUUCAAAUGUUAAUAGUGUGUCGAAGAAUUUAUUGGAAGUGAGAAACAAGAAAACAGUGAGUCUAACCUAGUCAUUCUAGAAUUGGGAGGUAAUAGAAAAGAGAGAAAUGGGAAAGUUGCUCAAAUGCAAGUCCAGUGAAUCAGAGAGAAAAGGCUCAAAGCAGCAGAACAAAGCUUCAAUAAAGAGAUAUUGUGACUUGGAGAGAUGGCCUUUUGUCCUUUGUUCUAUUACCGGUCAGAGGAUGGGGAGCACACCCGAGCCUGAGACAACAGCUCUGCUAAGGGCCCUUGAGAGGGCACGGUGGGGUCAGCACCAAAGCCAGACCACUAAAGAGAAAAAGAGAGAAGGACAGGAUUGCAGAGGAGAAAUGAGAAUGGCAGAAAAAAUAAUUUUUUAAGCCAAAAGGAAUCAGAGAAGAGCAGAAGUGCCUCUAGGAUAAAGCGUAGCAGGCAGUUAGGGAAAAAGGGCUGUUAACUACCUUGAAGCUCUGACUACAUUAGAAAGCCUCGCAAGACAGUCGUUGCUUGCACGGGCAGGCGUGGUUGGCAAUAAGGAUGGGUGGGAGAGAAAAAAAAACAGAAUUUGAGGAGGAGAGCAUUUAAACCAUCAGGCUGUGUGUUCUGUGACAUCAAAGACUGGCAACAUUCUAAACGAAAAGCAGCUGUGAAGUCAUAAUUAUGUUCACUUCCCACUGGCAACUGGCAAGCCCUUUAUUUUUGUGCAUUCGGAACUCACCAAGAAUAAAUAAAGUCCAUUCCCUCCUUGAGGGGCUAUUCUGCCAUUCCA